rnacentral:tRNA from 1 species
AAUGGAGUGGCUGAUUUUAGGUGAUAAAUUGUAAAUUUAUUUAAGGUUAAUUUAACCCUUCAUUA